UUACGGCCACAUCACGUUGAAACACCGGUCCCUGUACGAUCAUCAAAGUUAAGUAACAUCGAGCCAGGUCAGUACCUAGAUGGGUGACCGCUUGAGAAUACCAAGUUUUGUA